GUCUUGGUGGCUCAGUUGGCAGAGCGCUGGAGUGUCGAUCCAGAGGCCGUGAGUUCAAGUCUCACCCAAGGCA
rnacentral:tRNA from 1 species